AGUGAAAUAGCGGGUCAAAUGGUCAUUCCAUUCAUGGAAUCUCCAUGCUGCUUUCCAUAGUGGUUGCACCAAUUUGCAGUCCCAUCAGCAAU
rnacentral:pre_miRNA from 1 species